rnacentral:rRNA from 1 species
AUUGAACGCUGGCGGCAGGCCUAACACAUGCAAGUAGAACGAGUGGCGGACGGGUGAGUAAUGUCUGGGAAACUGCCCGCUGGAGGGGGAUAACUACUGGAAACGGUAGCUAAUACCGCAUACCAUCGGAUGUGCCCAGAUAGGAUUAGCUUGUAGGUGAGGUAACGCCUAACCUAGGCGCCGAUCCCUAGCUGGUCUGAGAGGAUGACCAGCCAGACGGGAACUGAGACACGGGCCAGAUGCCUACGGGAGGCAGCAGUGGGGAAUAUUGGACAAUGGGCGCAAUCCUGAUGCAGCAAUGCCGCGUGUAUGAAGAAGGCCUUCGGGUUGUAAAGUACUUUCAGCGGGGAGGCGUUACCCGCAGAAGAAGCACCGGCUAACUCCGUGCCAGCCGCCGCGGUAAUUC